rnacentral:rRNA from 1 species
GAUCAGGAGAGUUUGAUCCUGGCUCAGGGUGAACGCUGGCGACAUGCUUAACACAUGCAAGUUGAACGCUGAGAUGAUCUUUUGAAGAUUGUCGAAGAGUGGCGAACGGGUGAGUAACACGUAAGAACCAACCCUUUGGACAAGAAUAACUUUUGGAAACAAAAGCUAAAACUUGAUAAAAUAAUUCAAACAUCUUAUCGAUGCCAAAGGACGGGCUUGCGGCUGAUUAGCUAGUUGGUAAGAUAAUAGCUUACCAAGGCAACAAUCAGUAGCUGGUCUGAGAGGACGAUCAGCCACAUUGGGACUGAGACACGGCCCAGACCUCUACGGAGGGCAGCAGUGAGGAAUUUUCCGCAAUGGGCGAAAGCCUGACGGAGCAAUGUCGCGUGGGGGAUGAAGGCCUAUGGGUUGUAAACCCCUUUUGUCAAAGAAGAAAAAAAUGACGGUAUUUGGCGAAUAAGCAUUGGCUAAUUCCGUGCCAGCAGCCGCGGUAAUACGGGAAAUGCGAGCGUUAUCCGGAAUUAUUGGGCGUAAAGCGUCCGAAGGUGGUUUUUGAAGUCGACUGUGAAAGCUCAGAGCUCAACUUUGAAAAUGCAGUCUUAGAUACUCAAAAACUUGAGUUUGAUAGAGGUAGAGGGAAUUCUCGGUGGUAAUCGCCGGUCAGCCAUACGGCGGUGAAUACGUUCCCGGGCCUUGCACACACCGCCCGUCACUCAGGCAAAAUCGAGUACACCCAAAGUCAAUAACUGAACUCUUGAGAGAGAAAGAAUUGCCUAAGGUGAAUUUGGUAAUGCCUGAGAAGUCGUAACAAGGUAACCGUACUGGAAGGUGCGGUUGGAUAACCUCCUUAAAAAGUUUUUCAAAGAAGAGAAAAGCUAAUUAGACGAGCGCCUCUGGUGCUCGUCUAAUUAUCUAAUAGCCGCCUUUUUUCGAAGAAGCGCCUCUCUCUUUACUUUUCAUAAAACAAAGAUAGAAUAGAACCAUAUUCUUCAUUCGAACGACAGAAUAUAUGGAAAAUUUUUUGAACAAUUCUUCGUU